rnacentral:rRNA from 1 species
AUUGAACGCUGGCGGCAGGCCUAACACAUGCAAGUCGAGCGGAAACGAGUUAACUGACCCUUCGGGUGACGUUAACGGCGUCGAGCGGCGGACGGGUGAGUAAUGCCUGGGAAAUUGCCCUGAUGUGGGGGAUAACCAUUGGAAACGAUGGCUAAUACCGCAUAAUGCCUUCGGGCCAAAGAGGGGGACCUUCGGGCCUCUCGCGUCAGGAUAUGCCCAGGUGGGAUUAGCUAGUUGGUGAGGUAAUGGCUCACCAAGGCGACGAUCCCUAGCUGGUCUGAGAGGAUGAUCAGCCACACUGGAACUGAGACACGGUCCAGACUCCUACGGGAGGCAGCAGUGGGGAAUAUUGCACAAUGGGCGCAAGCCUGAUGCAGCCAUGCCGCGUGUGUGAAGAAGGCCUUCGGUUGUAAGCACUUCUAGCAGUGAGGAAGGCGGGUACGGUUAA